rnacentral:rRNA from 1 species
CCUACGGGUGGCAGCAGUGAGGAAUAUUGGUCAAUGGGCUUACGCCUGAACCAGCCAAGUCGCGUGAGGGAAGACUGCCCUAUGGGUUGUAAACCUCUUUUGUCAGGGAGCAAUUGUCUCUACGUGUAGCGUUUUCGAGAUUACCUGAAGAAAAAGCAUCGGCUAACUCCGUGCCAGCAGCCGCGUUAAUACGGAGGAUGCGAGCGUUACCCGGAUUUUUGGGGUUAAAGGGGUGCGUAGGUGGAAUUCCAAGUCGCCGGGAAAGUCGCGGGGCUCAACCUCGAUCCGCCGUUGAAACUGGCGUUCUUGAGUGGGCGAGAAGUAUGCGGAAUGCGUGGUGUAGCGGUGAAAUGCAUAGAUAUCACGCAGAACGCCGAUUGCGAAGGCAGCAUAC